rnacentral:SRP_RNA from 1 species
CUAUGCGCCCAGUGCUGCUGAGGAGCACAAGGACGAGGGAGAAAGAGAAGUG